UGGGGAAUUUUGGACAAUGGGCGAAAGCCUGAUCCAGCAAUGCCGCGUGUGUGAAGAAGGCCUUCGGGUUGUAAAGCACUUUUGUCCGGAAAGAAAUCCUUGGCUCUAAUACAGUCGGGGGAUGACGGUACCGGAAGAAUAAGCACCGGCUAACUACGUGCCAGCAGCCGCGGUAAUACGUAGGGUGCAAGCGUUAAUCGGAAUUACUGGGCGUAAAGCGUGCGCAGGCGGUUUGCUAAGACCGAUGUGAAAUCCCCGGGCUCAACCUGGGAACUGCAUUGGUGACUGGCAGGCUAGAGUAUGGCAGAGGGGGGUAGAAUUCCACGUGUAGCAGUGAAAUGCGUAGAGAUGUGGAGGAAUACCGAUGGCGAAGGCAGCCCCCUGGGCCAAAUACUGACGCUCAUGCACGAAAGCGUGGGGAGCAAACAGGAUUAGAUACCCUGGUAGUCCACGCCCUAAAACGAUGUCAACUAGUUGUUGGGGAUUCAUUUCCUUAGUAACGUAGCUAACGCGUGAAGUUGACCGCCUGGGGAGUACGGUCGCAAGAUUAAAACUCAAAUGAAUUGACGGGGUCAUAGCUG
rnacentral:rRNA from 1 species